AAAAGGAGCUCCCUUCGUCCAAAACGAAGAGGACAAGAUUUAAGGAACUAAAAAGCAGAAUCUAAGUGUUCAUGGAUUCCUCAAAGAGUGCAAAUUGAAGGUUAACAACAGCCUGAAGAAAGCGUCCUUUAAGAGGAUUGCAUGAGCUCUUAGAUUUCUCUCGUUUUUCUCUACAUAUAUUUCCUUCUCUUCUCUUCGUUUGGAUUGAAGGGAGCUCCUUUU
rnacentral:pre_miRNA from 1 species